rnacentral:lncRNA from 1 species
AUGCCAGUGACAGGCAUCAUAAUGGGAUCCAAGAAUUGUGACCCCCCCUCCCUGUAUGCUUUGGGGUUUUUUGCUAUUAGGAACCACCACCUUCUCCUGCUAUUGCUCAUUCCAGAAAGAAGUCUCCAGAAUAUUAUAAGUUUCCUUUGCCUGUGGUCAACCAUGGUCCAGAAACAGACCAUCCUCCUGACUUAG